rnacentral:lncRNA from 1 species
ACUCAAGGAAACGUCAACCAAUGGCCAUUGGGUCUCUGCAAAUCCACAUUUUCACAGGGAGGAAGUCGGAAGUAAUUGGAGCGACGGAGUCUCCUAGGGGGCAGACCAGCCAUCUGACGGCAAAGCUCAUCUAGAAGAGAAGCAGAACAUCAUGGGAAGAGAAUGCAGAAGAUAACAAAGGCUCUUGUUUUAAGGGAUAGAG